AACGCUGGCGGCGUGCCUAACACAUGCAAGUCGAACGAGAAAUAUACCAAGGAUCUCUUCGGAGUGAACUGGGAUAUGGACAGUGGCGGACGGGCGAGUAACGCGUGAGUAACCUGCCCAUAAGAGAGGGAUAGCCGAUGGAAACGUCGAGUAAUACCUCAUGACAUAUAUUUAUCGCAUGGUAGAUAUAUCAAAGAUUUAUCGCUUAUGGAUGGACUCGCGUCUGAUUAGAUAGUUGGCGGGGUAACGGCCCACCAAGUCGACGAUCAGUAGCCGAACUGAGAGGUUGAUCGGCCGCAUUGGGACUGAGACACGGCCCAGACUCCUACGGGAGGCAGCAGUGGGGGAUAUUGCGCAAUGGGGGAAACCCUGACGCAGCAACGCCGCGUGCAGGAAGAAGGUCUUCGGAUUGUAAACUGUUGUCGCAAGGGAAGAAGACAGUGACGGUACCUUGUGAGAAAGUCACGGCUAACUACGUGCC
rnacentral:rRNA from 1 species